CCUACGGGGGGCAGCAGUGGGGAAUAUUGCACAAUGGGGGAAACCCUGAUGCAGCAACGCCGCGUGAGCGAUGAAGGCCUUCGGGUCUAAAGCCCCGGUCCUAAGGGACGAUUCUGACGGUUCCCUAGGGGGGAGCCCCCGGUGAACUAGGGGCCAGCGGCCGCGGUAAUCCGUAGGGGGCUAGCGUUACCCGGAAUACCUGGGCGUAAAGGGUGCGUAGGCGGCCCUUCAAGUCAGAGGUGAAAGGCUACGGCUCAACCGUAGUAAGCCUUUGAAACUGUAGGGCUUGAGUGCAGGAGAGGAGAGUGGAAUUCCCAGUGUAGCGGUGAAAUGCGUAGAUAUUGGGAGGAACACCAGUUGCGAAGGCGGCUCUCUGGACUGUAACUGACGCUGAGGCACGAAAGCGUGGGGAGCGAACAGGAUUAGAUACCCGGGUAGUC
rnacentral:rRNA from 1 species